UACGUAGGGUGCGAGCGUUGUCCGGAAUUACUGGGCGUAAAGAGCUCGUAGGUGGUUUGUCACGUUGUCCGUGAAAACUCACAGCUUAACUGUGGGCGUGCGGGCGAUACGGGCAGACUGGAGUACUGUAGGGGAGACUGGAAUUCCUGGUGUAGCGGUGGAAUGCGCAGAUAUCAGGAGGAACACCGGUGGCGAAGGCGGGUCUCUGGGCAGUAACUGACGCUGAAGCACGAAAGCGUGGGGAGCAAACAGG
rnacentral:rRNA from 1 species